GAUGAACGCUGGCGGUAUGCUUAACACAUGCAAGUCGAACGGACUCUUCGGAGUUAGUGGCGGACGGGUGAGUAACGCGUGAGAAUCUGGCUUUGGGUUCGGGACAACCACUGGAAACGGUGGCUAAUACCGGAUGUGCCGAGAGGUAAAAGAGAAAUUGCCUGAAGAUGAGCUCGCGUCUGAUUAGCUAGUUGGUGAGGUAAAGGCUCACCAAGGCAGCGAUCAGUAGCUGGUCUGAGAGGAUGACCAGCCACACUGGGACUGAGACACGGCCCAGACUCCUACGGGAGGCAGCAGUGGGGAAUUUUCCGCAAUGGGCGAAAGCCUGACGGAGCAAUACCGCGGGAGGGAAGAAGGGUCUUGGGUGGUAAACCUCUUUUCUUAGGGAAGAACAAAAUGACGGUACCUAAGGAAUCAGCAUCGGCUAACUCCGU
rnacentral:rRNA from 1 species